rnacentral:rRNA from 1 species
UUAAAAUUUAACAAUAUUAAAUAUUUAUCAUAAAUAUAACAAAAUUAAUUAAAACAUUUCUACUAUUUUAGUAUAGGUGAUAGAACAAAAACUUAGUGCCAUAGAAAAAGUACCGCAAGGGAAAGCUGAAAAAGAAGUGAAAAACCCUAAAGUCUAGAAAAGCAGAGAUUUGAUCUCAUACCUUUUGCAUCAUGAUUUAGCUAGAAUAAAUAGGCAAAAAGAUUUUAAGUCUAUCUUCCCGAAACUAAACGAGCUACUUCGGAGCAGCAUAUUAGUGCCAACUCAUCUCUGUUGCAAAAGAGUGAGAAGACUCCCAAGUAGAGGCGAUAUACCUACCGAGCUUAGUGAUAGCUGGUAAUCCAAAAAAAGAACCUUAAUUCUGCAUUAAUUAUUCAAUCUCACCAAUAAUCCAAAAGAUUAAUUGUAAUAAUUAAUAGUUAUUCAAAAGAGGUACAGCUCUUUUGAAUUAAGAAACAACUUUCCUAGCUGGAUAAAGAUCAUAUUAAUAAAAACAUUUGAACUCAGUGGGCCUAAAAGCAGCCACCUGUUAAGUAAGCGUCACAGCUCCAGUCAAAUAUAAGUCCAAAUACAGAUAAUAAAUCCCAAUCCCCUAAGGCAAUAUUGGAUUAUUUUAUCCUAAUAAAAGAAAUUAUGCUAAAAUGAGUAAUAAGAGGAUAUAAUCCUCUCCUUUAACACUAGUGUAAACCAGAAAGAAUUAACUCACUGGUAAUUAACCGUCACCAAAAGAGGCUAUUAUAUAAUUAAUAAAUAACUAGAAAUACAUAUUAUAUUAGACGUUAACCCUACACAGGUGUGUUUAAUAGGAAAGAUUAAAAGAAAAUAAAGGAACUCGGCAAACAUUAACUCCGCCUGUUUACCAAAAACAUCGCCUCUUGCCCAAUAAGUAUAAGAGGUCUCGCCUGCCCUGUGAUUUAUUUAACGGCCGCGGUAUCCUGACCGUGCAAAGGUAGCGUAAUCACUUGUCUUUUAAUUGAAGACCUGUAUGAAAGACAUCACGAGAGUUUAUCUGUCUCUAUUUUCCAAUCAAUGAAAUUGAUCUUCUCGUGCAGAAGCGAGAAUUAUAAUAUAAGACGAGAAGACCCUAUGAAGCUUCAAACACUUAAAUUAACAAUACAUUUCCUUUAAACCUCUAGGCUUAACCAAUAAAAAUAAAAUAAUUUAACAUGUUUUCGGUUGGGGCGACCAAGGGGAAAAAUAAAACCCCCCCAUCGAUUGAGUACCAUUACUUAAAAAUUAGAAUAACUAUUCUAACUUACAGAACAUCUGACGACACAUGACCCAAGACUUUCUUGAACAAUGAACCAAGUUACCCUAGGGAUAACAGCGCAAUCCUCUCUAAGAGUCCUUAUCGACAAGAGGGUUUACGACCUCGAUGUUGGAUCAGGACAUCCUAAUGGUGUAGCCGCUAUUAAGGGUUCGUUUGUUCAACGAUUAACAGUCCUACGUGAUCUGAGUUCAGACCGGAGCAAUCCAGGUCAGUUUCUAUCUAUAAAAAUAUUCUUCCCAGUACGAAAGGACCGGAAAAAUGAAGCCAAUGCUCCAAGUAAGCUUCUUUAUUACUUACUGAAAAAACUCAAGUAAGUAAAAAAAAUUAACCAUAAAACUAAAAAUUAUAGUUG